GCAAGAAGAAAGAAAGGAAGAAAGAAGAAGAAGAAGACCGGCCAGCUCAUGUCUUCAAGAAGCAAUAGAAAAGCAAGAAGAAAGAGAGAAGAAGAAGAAGAAAGAAAGAAGUUCAAAAAGAUAUCCUGUGUUCUGAUUUUCUUUCCCAAGAAGUUCAAAAAGACAUCUUGUGUUCUGAUUUUCUUUCCCCCUUUGUGUACUUGUUGCUUGCGAUUAGAUGGCUUUUGGCCUUUGAACUUGGAAGGUUAAGGUUGGAGAAUGCAGCAAAAGGUAGAGACAGCGCCCUUUGUUGAUGUGGGCUUGCCAUGGUGGUGAAAAAUAGCACUGCCAACAUGGUGGGUGAUGGUGAUGGUGGUGGUGGUGGACUGUGGUUAUAGAGGUAUGGGAUUCUGGCAGUUGACAAUAGCAAGUUGGCGAAGGAUGUCCCAGAGAAAAUGUUCUGGGCUAUCUUUGUUCUUGGCCAUGAUCGCUAAUUGUUUAUUUACUUAUUCUUGGAACAUCUUUUUCUAAGCAGAAUUUGGAUGAAACAGAGAACACUGGUGUUAUUAAUGGAAUCUUUACUGGGUUUAAAAUAAAAGGCCUUACAAGGUGCCAGUCUCUGCUAAAUAAUGUUGGACGCAUGCAUUAAAAAAAAUAUUGAUACAAAACAAGUGAGACUAAAUUGAGUAGUAAAAUACAUGUCAUAUGUGAUAAGAUGAAAGAAUAAGAUGAUGAAUUAAUACAUCCAACAAAAGGUGGAAGUGGCAUAAAUUGAGGAAAACUUGAUGAAAAGAAGAAUAAAAUGAUGGAUUAAUACAUCCAACAAAAGUUGGAUGUGACAUCACUUGGGAAAAAAUUGGUGUAAGCUUCUUUGAGACCUCACAUCUUCAGUAAAACUCUAAGCAUGCCAAUGAGAACUGACUAAAUUAAAAAAUACAAGUGAAUAAUGAAAGAGAUGGGAAGAACUAGACUUAAUUGAAUUGUUAAAAAGAACUAAACCCCACAUGUAGAAAUAUGACCCUGAAUGAAAAUGAUUAUGUUUCUUGGAAUAGUGUAACUGAGAUGUCACAUUCAUAAGAUAGGUGCAACUGAAUGGAGGAUAUUAUGAUGUGAGAUUUAAACAAUAGGAAAACGUUUAAGCAAAAUCUCAUUAAACAUUUGGAGAGAGAAAAGAGAGGUCAAUAAUGUAUCAACCAAAGAAAAAAAAAAGAAUAAGUUCACAGUAACCCAUCAGCCUUUAAGUUCCAUCCCAGUCUAACCAUCCUCUAAGACUAAACUAAUCCCAUUGUUCCACUGAUACAGAAAUUAAUUCCCAUAUACUUUUCCAAUUUGUUCUGUACACUGUACUCGCUUUGAAUUCAUGAUAGUUGCUACAACACUUCACCUAAACAUAAAACAACCAUGUUAGUUAAAGAUGCUCAGAGAUGGACAUGGUACUUUGACACUUCAAAAUCAGUGGAAAAAUCAAAGAAAGUUGAGAAAAAUAGGUGGGUCAAACUCACAAACAUGUACUCAUGUUCAAGUCCAAGUAACAUAGGAAUUCAUCAAUUAUUUGAGCCAAAUUAUUUGUUCUCCAAUCACAUUUGAACACCCUAAACAACUUAUACUUUAUAUCAACACUGUAAACGCUCCAAUUUAACAGACCCUCGCCCAUUACAUUUCUUGAAAAUACUACAAUAACUGAGGAAAUUCGAGCACAACAAGAAAAGAAGACGCUUUUCUACAAAAUUUACAUAGUUUACCUUCAAGCAUAGCAAUUCCACGCU
rnacentral:misc_RNA from 1 species